UACGGAGGGUGCAAGCGUUAUCCGGAUUCACUGGGUUUAAAGGGAGCGCAGGCGGAUUGGUAAGUCAGUGGUGAAAGGCUUAAGCUUAACUUGGGAACUGCCAUUGAUACUAUCAGUCUUGAAUGUUGUUGAGGUUUGCGGAAUGGGUCAUGUAGCGGUGAAAAUGCAUAGAUAUGACCCGGAACACCUAUUGCGAAGGCAGCAGGCUAAACAAAUAUUGACGCUGAGGCUCGAAAGCGUGGGGGAUCAAACAGG
rnacentral:rRNA from 1 species